UACGUAGGGUGCGAGCGUUGUCCGGAAUUACUGGGCGUAAAGAGCUCGUAGGUGGUUUGUCGCGUUGUUCGUGAAAACUCACAACUCAAUUGUGGGCGUGCGGGCGAUACGGGCAGACUGGAGUACUGCAGGGGAGACUGGAAUUCCUGGUGUAGCGGUGGAAUGCGCAGAUAUCAGGAGGAACACCGGUGGCGAAGGCGGGUCUCUGGGCAGUAACUGACGCUGAAGCGCGAAAGCCAGGGGAGCGAACGGG
rnacentral:rRNA from 1 species